rnacentral:rRNA from 1 species
GACGAACGCUGGCGACGUGCUUAACACAUGCAAGUCGAACGGAAAGGCCCUGCUUUUGUGGGGUGCUCGAGUGGCGAACGUGUGAGUAACACGUGAGUAACCUGCCCUUGACUUUGGGAUAACUUCAGGAAACUGGGGCUAAUACCGGAUAGGAGCUCCUGCUGCAUGGUGGGGGUUGGAAAGUUUCGGCGGUUGGGGAUGGACUCGCGGCUUAUCAGCUUGUUGGUGGGGUAGUGGCUUACCAAGGCUUUGACGGGUAGCCGGCCUGAGAGGGUGACCGGCCACAUCGGGACUGAGAUACGGCCCAGACUCCUACGGGAGGCAGCAGUGGGGAAUAUUGCACAAUGGGCGGAAGCCUGAUGCAGCAACGCCGCGUGCGGGAUGACGGCCUUCGGGUUGUAAACCGCUUUCGCCUGUGACGAAGCGUGAGUGACGGUAAUGGGUAAAGAAGCACCGGCUAACUACGUG